GACGAACGCUGGCGGCGUGCCUAAUACAUGCAAGUAGAACGCUGAAGAGAGGAGCUUACUCUUCUUGGAUGAGUUGCGCACGGGUGAGUCACGCGUAGGUAACCUGCCUUGUAGCGGGGGAUAACUAUUGGAAACGAUAGCUAAUACCGCAUAACAAUGGAUGACACAUUUCAUUUAUUUGAAAGGGGCAAUUGCUCCACUACAAGAUGGACCUGCGUUGUAUUAGCUAGUAGGUGAGGUAAUGGCUCACCUAGGCGGGGAUACAGAGCCGACCUGAGAGGGUGAUCGGCCACACUGGGACGGAGACACGGCCCAGACGGCCACGGGAGGCAGCAGUAGGGAAUCGUCGGCAAGGGGGGGAACCCUGACCGAGCAACGCCGCGUGAGUAAAGAGGGUCGUCGGAUCGGAGAGCUCGGUUGUAGGUCAAGAACGGGUGUGCGAGUGGAAAGUUCACUCUGUGACGGUAGCUGAUAAGAAAGGGACGGCUAACCACGUG
rnacentral:rRNA from 1 species